UUUUCGAAAACUACAUGAACCAGCAAACGCCAGCAGCUCCACUUGUAAAACAUGAUUGGUACCAAACAGAAUCUCAAGUUAUCGUCACGCUCAUGGCAAAAAAUGUACCCAAGGAUGGCGUAUCUGUCAAAUUCACAGAAAGAGAGCUCAACGCUA